ACUGCCUUUUUGCCCCUUUUGAAGGCAAAAAGAAUCUUUGGUUGUGUUCACUUCUGCCAAGAACAUGGGCAGCAUGCAGUCAGCAGCCUUGGAGGCAAAAUGUACAUUUGGCUGGCCUAUAGUAGGUGCAAAGAAACACUCAUUCUAAAAACAAUUAAAAUGUCAGUUUUGUGUCUGUUUUCAUUUCCCAAGUAAACUGAACAAAAUAACCUAAACGAUGGAAGCCACUGGUGAAACGAAUCCGGAUGGAGCUUAUCAAAUGUGAAUGGUCCAGAGUGUGGAAAACCAGUGCCCUCAGAAAUGAAAGAAAAGGUUCAAUGGCCCUGGUAUGAUGAAUCGCUUCUGGCAAAAUUUAAUUCUAAAGAAAUGGCAAAGAUAAUAACAUACUUUCACGGAAAAAGUUUGUCCUGAAGAAGGGCCUCUCCCCUUUUAACUCUCAAAACAAUUUUAGAACCAAGCAUUAGCUUUAAUCCAGCACUCUGAUCCAGACUGGCACAAAAAGGAAUAAAAGGGCUCAACUAUGAGGAGGCCUGAAAGAGGACAACUGCCCACAGCCCCAUCAAAGGGCUGAUUGAGAAUAAAAAGAAAUUGAAAGGGAAAAGAUAAAGACUCAAGGAACAAAAACUGCCGUGUCAAUCUCAUUCAAAAUCUUUAUUUUUGUCUAAUCACAUUUCUUAGAAAAUAUUUUUUAUCUUCUUUGGUAUUUUUUUAACUUCUCAUUUGAUAAGCUAUUUUUAAAAACACAAUGAAAAUGUUGGCUACAUGUGAGACUCAAGGGAAGAAAGGGUCAGAAAAUAAAGAAGCUG